GGGUUUUCGUUAAAGUUGUGAAGGUCGGUGAGAAGGGGAAUGCGGCGGAUUUGUGGUUGGAGAGGGAGAUGAUGAGUGGAGAGGUUGGUUGGUUGGUUUUGGUUUCGGAUGAUCGGGAAUUUGCGGAGAUGUUGAGGAAGGUUAGGGAGGUCAAUUUGAAGACUGUUGUUGUUGGAGAUUAUUGGGAUAGGGAUUUGGGGAAGAAUGCUGAUUUGUGGCUUCCUUGGAAUGUUGUUGAGAAUGGAAAGCUUGAGGGAAUGGGUUUAAUGGGAAGAACAGAGGGU